rnacentral:rRNA from 1 species
GUACACUCCUGCGGGAGGCAGCAGUGGGGAAUUUUGGACAAUGGGCGAAAGCCUGAUCCAGCAAUGCCGCGUGAGUGAAGAAGGCCUUCGGGUUGUAAAGCUCUUUUGUCAGGGAAGAAACGGUGAGAGCUAAUAUCUCUUGCUAAUGACGGUACCUGAAGAAUAAGCACCGGCUAACUACGUGCCAGCAGCCGCGGUAAUACGGAGGGUGCAAGCGUUAAUCGGAAUUACUGGGCGUAAAGCGUGCGCAGGCGGUUUUGUAAGUCUGAUGUGAAAUCCCCGGGCUCAACCUGGGAAUUGCAUUGGAGACUGCAAGGCUAGAAUCUGGCAGAGGGGGGUAGAAUUCCACGUGUAGCAGUGAAAUGCGUAGAUAUGUGGAGGAACACCGAUGGCGAAGGCAGCCCCCUGGGUCAAGAUUGACGCUCAUGCACGAAAGCGUGUGGAGCAAACAGGAUUAGAAACCCUAGUAGUCCCA